UCCUACAAAUACAUAUUGACAGCUAAUGUUACCCCUGACAAGUUCUCUCCUGAAAAGAGAUUUGAGUACAGUUUUAGAGGUUUCAAAUCGGCCUUGUUAAAUCAAGUUUAGCCUAAAGCUGUCUCCUUUUAUAUUUUAAGUUUGGCCUAAAGGUUUUGUUAUGGGCAGGUCUUUGUUGUUAGAGCUUCCAAGAUGGUGGCAAGCCUUUUGUUCUCAACCUGGGGUUCUUGGACUCACGGAUUCCAAGGAAUGGAAAUGUGGGCCAUGCGGUGGUGUCAGAAGUGGGAUUUGAAGUAGAGCUUCCAGAAACUUCCAGGAGCACUGAGUGACCAGGCAAGGUAUCUGCCAGGCCCACUGUGUGGAUUGUGCUCUUGCAGCAACUGGGGAUCAUGGCUUUUUCAUUUGGGUAAAUGAACUGACUCCAGCCAGACUUGUGACUCAUACCAAGGAACUCACUCAACUGGUCCUGUGACCUCACCCAGAAACUGACUCAGCACAUGAAGACAGUUUGGAUAUUCCUAUAAUUUCAUCUCCAACCAAUCAGCAGCACCUGUCAUCUAGCCCCCUGCCCUCCAAAUUAUCCUUAAAAACCCUAGCCUCCAAGCUCUCAGAGAGGCAGAAUUGAAAAAAAUCUCCCAUCCUUCCACUCCCCUUGAAAUAAUUAAACUCCUUCUCUUAUAUGAAA